rnacentral:misc_RNA from 1 species
AAGUCGUAACAAGGUUUCCGUAGGUGAACCUGCGGAAGGAUCAUUAUCACGUUAUCCACGUUUAUCAACCAAUUGUGAACUGUUUGUUACCUUGGAGAAUAUGAGCUGGAUAGUUUCAUUUCAUUGUGUGAUUUUGAAUGGCUAUCUGUUUUAGAUGUUUCGACAUCUAUAAUAUGGCUUUAUUUUCUAAGUGUAUUAAAUCACACUUUUAAACUUCAUUAACCACUUGAACCUUUUAAUUUAUUCUUUGUUUGAACUGAUUUGUUUCUUACUCGAUUGGGGGAUAAAAACCCUAUUUGAGAAGAAAUUAUCAUACGAAAUAAAAGAACAACUCUUAGCAACGGAUAUCUUGGUUCUC